GAUAGUGAGGGGGAGGGAGGGGAGGUAAGGCGAGUGGGGCAGUGGUUACGCGGGAGUACUGGGCGGAAAGAGGGGGGAGGUGGUUUGUUAAGUCUGAGGGGAAAGCCCUGGGCUCAACCUGGGAAUGGCAUUGGAUACUGGCAGGCUAGAGUGCGGUAGAGGGUAGUGGAAUUCCCGGUGUAGCAGUGAAAUGCGUAGAGAUCGGGAGGAACAUCUGUGGCGAAGGCGACUACCUGGACCAGCACUGACACUGAGGCACGAAAGCGUGGGGAGCAAACAGGAUUAGAUACCCCAGUAGUC
rnacentral:rRNA from 1 species